AUGCAAGUCGAGCGGGGGAAGGUAGCUUGCUACYGGACCUAGCGGCGGACGGGUGAGUAAUGCUUAGGAAUCUGCCUAUUAGUGGGGGACAACAUCUCGAAAGGGAUGCUAAUACCGCAUACGUCCUACGGGAGAAAGCAGGGGAUCUUCGGACCUUGCGCUAAUAGAUGAGCCUAAGUCGGAUUAGCUAGUUGGUGGGGUAAAGGCCUACCAAGGCGACGAUCUGUAGCGGGUCUGAGAGGAUGAUCCGCCACACUGGGACUGAGACACGGCCCAGACUCCUACGGGAGGCAGCAGUGGGGAAUAUUGGACAAUGGGGGGAACCCUGAUCCAGCCAUGCCGCGUGUGUGAAGAAGGCCUUAUGGUUGUAAAGCACUUUAAGCGAGGAGGAGGCUACUUUAGUUAAUACCUAGAGAUAGUGGACGUUACUCGCAGAAUAAGCACCGGCUAACUCUGUGCCAGCAGCCGCGGUAAUACAGAGGGUGCGAGCGUUAAUCGGAUUUACUGGGCGUAAAGCGUGCGUAGGCGGCUUAUUAAGUCGGAUGUGAAAUCCCCGAGCUUAACUUGGGAAUUGCAUUCGAUACUGGUGAGCUAGAGUAUGGGAGAGGAUGGUAGAAUUCCAGGUGUAGCGGUGAAAUGCGUAGAGAUCUGGAGGAAUACCGAUGGCGAAGGCAGCCAUCUGGCCUAAUACUGACGCUGAGGUACGAAAGCAUGGGGAGCAAACAGGAUUAGAUACCCUGGUAGUCCAUGCCGUAAACGAUGUCUACUAGCCGUUGGGGCCUUUGAGGCUUUAGUGGCGCAGCUAACGCGAUAAGUAGACCGCCUGGGGAGUACGGUCGCAAGACUAAAACUCAAAUGAAUUGACGGGGGCCCGCACAAGCGGUGGAGCAUGUGGUUUAAUUCGAUGCAACGCGAAGAACCUUACCUGGCCUUGACAUACUAGAAACUUUCCAGAGAUGGAUUGGUGCCUUCGGGAAUCUAGAUACAGGUGCUGCAUGGCUGUCGUCAGCUC
rnacentral:rRNA from 1 species